GACACGGUCCAAACUCCUACGGGAGGCAGCAGUGAGGAAUAUUGGUCAAUGGUCGGCAGACUGAACCAGCCAAGUCGCGUGAGGGAAGACGGCCCUACGGGUUGUAAACCUCUUUUGUCGGAGAGUAAAGUACGCUACGUGUAGCGUAUUGCAAGUAUCCGAAGAAAAAGCAUCGGCUAACUCCGUGCCAGCAGCCGCGGUAAUACGGAGGAUGCAAGCGUUAUCCGGAUUUAUUGGGUUUAAAGGGUGCGUAGGCGGCACGCCAAGUCAGCGGUGAAAUUUCCGGGCUCAACCCGGACUGUGCCGUUGAAACUGGCGAGCUAGAGUGCACAAGAGGCAGGCGGAAUGCGUGGUGUAGCGGUGAAAUGCAUAGAUAUCACGCAGAACCCCGAUUGCGAAGGCAGCCUGCUAGGGUGCGACAGACGCUGAGGCACGAAAGCGUGGGUAUCGAACAGGAUUAGAUACCCUGGUAGUCCACGCAGUAAACGAUGAAUACUAACUGUUUGCGAUACAAUGUAAGCGGUACAGCGAAAGCGUUAAGUAUUCCACCUGGGGAGUACGCCGGCAACGGUGAAACUCAAAGGAAUUGACGGGGGCCCGCACAAGCGGAGGAACAUGUGGUUUAAUUCGAUGAUACGCGAGGAACCUUACCCGGGCUUAAAUUGCACUCGAAUGAUCCGGAAACGGUUCAGCUAGCAAUAGCGAGUGUGAAGGUGCUGCAUGGUUGUCGUCAGCUCGUGCCGUGAGGUGUCGGCUUAAGUGCCAUAACGAGCGCAACCCCUAUGGACAGUUACUAACGGGUGAAGCCGAGGACUCUGUCUAGACUGCCGGCGCAAGCCGCGAGGAAGGUGGGGAUGACGUCAAAUCAGCACGGCCCUUACGUCCGGGGCGACACACGUGUUACAAUGGCAGGUACAGAAGGCAGCCAGUCAGCAAUGACGCGCGAAUCCCGAAAACCUGUCUCAGUUCGGAUUGGAGUCUGCAACCCGACUCCAUGAAGCUGGAUUCGCUAGUAAUCGCGCAUCAGCCAUGGCGCGGUGAAUACGUUCCCGGGCCUUGUACACACCGCCCGUCAAGCCAUGGAAGCUGGGGGUGCCUGAAGUUCGUGACCGCAAGGAGCGACCUAGGGCAAAACCGGUGACUGGGGCUAAGUCGUAACAAGGUAGCCGUACCGGAAGGUGCGGCUG
rnacentral:rRNA from 1 species